rnacentral:rRNA from 1 species
GAUGAACGCUGGCGGCGUGCCUAAUACAUGCAAGUCGAGCGAACGGACGAGAAGCUUGCUUCUCUGAUGUUAGCGGCGGACGGGUGAGUAACACGUGGAUAACCUACCUAUAAGACUGGGAUAACUUCGGGAAACCGGAGCUAAUACCGGAUGAUAUUUUGAACCGCAUGGUUCAAAAGUGAAAGACGGUCUUGCUGUCACUUAUAGAUGGAUCCGCGCUGCAUUAGCUAGUUGGUAAGGUAACGGUUACCAAGGCAACGAUGCAUAGCCGACCUGAGAGGGUGAUCGGCCACACUGGAACUGAGACACGGUCCAGACUCCUACGGGAGGCAGCAGUAGGGAAUCUUCCGCAAAGGGCGAAAGCCUGACGGAGCAACGCCGCGUGAGUGAUGAAGGUCUUCGGAUCGUAAAACUCUGUUAUUAGGGAAGAACAUAUGUGUAAGUAACUGUGCACAUCUUGACGGUACCUAAUCAGAAAGCCACGGCUAACUACGUG